AAAGUGUCUAAACAGAGUUUAUUCCAUGACGGUAUGAUCGGCGGUUGUGAUGUCUUUUACCAUGCCCGCGGUGGCUUGUACCAAAUGUUACCGGGUCGAAUCCUCUAAGUCUCUCGGACUCAAGUGGAUCGAUUACACACUCAGAAGGUGGAACCUGGUAUCGAGUUGUAUCAUAACAAUAGGAGUACUGCAUGUAUUUUUUCCUCAGGUUCUGCAUUUUAGUUCUACUUUCUUUUGUUGUACCUGUAGGAACAGAUUGAGACUUGGGCGCAGUAUCACAUGAGGUCGACAUCUCGAUGGGAUCAACGGCACAANUGUGAAGGAAUGCUCUAUUCCUUGUCAUAUCUAUUUCCUACCAAAAUUUUAUAUCAUAUAAAUUUUGUAUUAAUUCUGUUUUUUCAAAAUCAUUUAUCCUCUACUCUAUUAGCUUCUUUUAUUUAUACUCAUUCUAUUCCAUUCACUUCAACCAAAUACAACAUAAAUUUUAUUAAAUAGGUGCAAUACCGUUGUAAGUCCUUGGAGUAGUGUUCACAGGAAAUUCAGGAAAUCGGUUUGAACUGGAAACGGGAUAAUAUCGAUUCUCAUAUCCUCAAUUAGAUUAAAAAUAUAUAAAAAGGACACAUUAUCAAACUUAUAUUAUACAACGUAGUAUACAUAUCCAUGUUGAGUGAAACAAAUAUCGAAUCUGCUACUAAACUAAAGAAUCUAAAUAAUCGGAUUGGGAAAGAUUAUAUUCAAAUAAAAUUUUGAGAAUAAAGUCAAGUAAUUUUGGGUGCCCCAAUAUUUUUCUCUAGACUUAAUCAUACUCCUUUCUAUUGGAAGUAAAAGAAAUAGAUCGGUUAACACGACAAGGAAAUCUUGUUAUAAAUAGGAUUAAUAAUAUUCUUAUCGAGUUCAAGUUUGUUUUGAUUGCUGAAUUAGCAUGUAAAUAUAAUCAUAAUACGCAUGUAAAAAAAACAGAAAAAGAGAGACGCAACUUUUCUUUUUUACAUCCUAAAAUAAGCCUAAUAAAAAAUAAAACUUAUUUUGGAAGAGUCAUGUAAUGAAAUUGAUUUAUUUUUUGAUUCUAUUAGUGUCAGAGUCUCAGAGAAGCUUUACCCCCUCAAAAAUCAAACUAAGAGCAAGUCCAAGAUGCCUCAUAUAAUGUCCUAAGUCAUUAUUUAGGGCAUUUGGCAAAAAAUUUCACUCCAACAAUGUCCUAGUGAUGCCUUAUAUCACUAGGACAAGCUCUUCAAGCCUUAUUUUUGAGGCACAUCUUUGCUUGCCCUAUCCUAGAUUAUAUAGUAAAAUAUUACUAACACUCUCUUUCUCUCUCUUCCUUAUAUUGUCUUUUAAUGAUGAAAGAAAACUUUUAAUAAUAAAAUAUUAAAUAUGUAAUGAGAAUAAGGCACAUUGUUGGAGUUGAAGUUACUUAAGUCCUAAAUCAUUAGGACAUAAUUUUUUAUAUUAUAUUUAAGGCCUCAACUAAGACACUCUUGGACUUGCUCCAAUGCCCCCACCAAUCACAUUUGCUCAGGAUUCCAAGUUGCCAUUUGACAAAAUGUUCCUCAGACCAGGACAAAUCUGAUUGCAUGAGACUAAUUUACAAAACCCAGCACACCUAAAAUUCUGGUGUUAAUGUCCAAAACAAACAUACUUGCAGAGUAACCAAAUAUGCUAACCCAACUAGCUAAUUUGUUGUCCUAAAAAUAGGAGUACAUUUUAAAAACUAGGGCCCUGUCCUGCUGACCCCAUAAGAAAGAUAGUUGAAAACAAAGAGGGUGUGUGCAUAUUUUCAUAAUUCAUCAAUCCAACCAGCCCAAAUACAACAAGAGUAACAGACAAUAUCAUGGCCACAAUCCUCAAGAUAUGCAAAAUAUACAUAACCCCCCUCGGCCCCUCCUCACCCCGAUCAAUUAAUCAAUACACGCUUUUCUGCUCUCUGUUUUUUAUCUAUAUACAUAAAAAAAGAUAUCGCAUGACUGUGGCAACCGUGAUCACUGGGCAAAAUGCAAUUUAAAGUGUCUAAACAGAGUUUAUUCCAUGACGGUAUGAUCGGCGGUUGUGAUGUCUUUUACCAUGCCCGCGGUGGCUUGUACCAAAUGUUACCGGGUCGAAUCCUCUAAGUCUCUCGGACUCAAGUGGAUCGAUUACACACUCAGAAGGUGGAACCUGGUAUCGAGUUGUAUCAUAACAAUAGGAGUACUGCAUGUAUUUUUUCCUCAGGUUCUGCAUUUUAGUUCUACUUUCUUUUGUUGUACCUGUAGGAACAGAUUGAGACUUGGGCGCAGUAUCACAUGAGGUCGACAUCUCGAUGGGAUCAACGGCACAACCGUGAAGCACGAAAUCGGAGAACUCGGCAAUGUAAGGGGAAUAUUUAUAAUUGACCUUGUAUUUACCUCCAUUUGUAGCCCAAUUAGAUCCAUCCCAAAUAGUAGCAUACAAGCUCAUUGGCUUGGAAGGGAAGUCCCCACCCAUUGCUUCUGUCUUCUUGACCUCUCUUAUAGGAACAUUGUCUAUGUAAAAGCUGUAAAGCAAGAUAAAAACAUCCAUAAACAAACAAGAAAAAACCAAUGCUCUUAUCAUGAAACAAAAACUCGAAAACUUGUGAUCAAUCCCUGUUCAAAAGUUUAAUUAUUGAACAAGGGUAAGAAACAAGGGCAAGUGGAGGUAAGUGACAAUACAUGAUUCAUGCAAAGGAAUCUCUCAGCUCAAUUUUCUUGCAGUUGCACAACAUGUCAUGAAAAAACAAAAAACCUACUAACAGUAACCUAAACAGAGAAAUCCAAUUACCAAAAAAAGAAAAGAAAAAAGAAUAAAUUAUCUGUGAAGACGCAUCGCAAUCCCUUACUCUCCGGGACAAGAUCAUAGGUUAAAAUCCCCAAUCCCCUCCCUUUGUCCUUAAAAAACUUAUGUAAUAUACUUAAAAAGCAAUUGUAAUGGCUUAAGCUCAUAUAAAUCUAUAGAAGUAACAUAUAAAAUUACAUACAUUAUUUCUUAAAUCAACUGACGCCAUUUUAAAAUAAUUUACAAAAUAAUAUUAAUUCAUGUUUCUAGAAUGUAAAAAUUUCAAAGAAUUCAUAAUUGAAAGGCUGAGUAGUAUAUCAACACUGUUUAGGUUCAUAACAAGGACAGCAAGCUUGAAUGCUACAAUAGAAAUUCUAAAUUUAUUUUUUCCCAAAAAUCUGCAAUAACAUAGCAAAACGAAUAAACAAUUCAAUAUACCCCACAAAUACUCUGCAGAUAUCAUUUUUUUACAUUCAAUAACUUUUUAGUGUGUGUGGGCAGAGAGAUUGGGAGUUAGCUCUAGACAUGUCCUAGCACCAGGAGCACCUUCACUUGUCAAAUGAUAAUUGCCAACAAAAUGAUAAAUGCAACAAAAUUAUAAAAAAGUUAAUAAAAACAGAAUCUGUAAAUAGAUUAUUCUCAGAAGGUUUCAGUUUCUUAC
rnacentral:lncRNA from 1 species